rnacentral:RNase_P_RNA from 1 species
CCAGAGGGUUGGGCGGCCGCGGGUGCGCAAGCACGCGAGGAAAGUCCGGGCUCCACGGAAAGACGGUGCCGGGUAAUGCCCGGCGGGGGCGACCCCAGGGAAAGUGCCACAGAGAGCAGACCGCUCGCUGCCACGGCUUUCGGGCCGGGGUAAGGGCAAGGGUGAAAGGGUGCGGCAAGAGCGCACCGCGCGACCGGUAACGGAAGCGGCAUGGCAAACCCCACCGGGAGCAAGACCGAAUAGGGACGGCGCAUGAGGUGUUCCGCCUCGUCGUCCGGGUUGGUUGCUUGAGGGGCGGAGCAAUCCGUCUCCUAGAGGAAUGGCCGCACAUCCGCCCACGCUCUUCGGGGCUACGGCGGAGGACAGAACCCGGCUUACAGACCCUCUGGCACU